GGCGAGUGAAGCGGCAAAAGCUCAAAUUUGAAAUCUGGCUCUUUCAGAGUCCGAGUUGUAAUUUGAAGAAGGUAUCUUUGGGUCUGGCUCUUGUCUAUGUUUCUUGGAACAGAACGUCACAGAGGGUGAGAAUCCCGUGCGAUGAGAUGAUCCAGGCCUAUGUAAAGUUCCUUCGAAGAGUCGAGUUGUUUGGGAAUGCAGCUCUAAGUGGGUGGUAAAUUCCAUCUAAAGCUAAAUAUUGGCGAGAGACCGAUAGCGAACAAGUACAGUGAUGGAAAGAUGAAAAGAACUUUGAAAAGAGAGUGAAAAAGUACGUGAAAUUGUUGAAAGGGAAGGGCUUGAGAUCAGACUUGGUAUUUUGUAUGUUACUUCUUCGGGGGUGGCCUCUACAGUUUAUCGGGCCAGCAUCAGUUUGGGCGGUAGGAGAAUUGCGUUGGAAUGUGGCACGGCUUCGGUUGUGUGUUAUAGCCUUCGUCGAUACUGCCAGCCUAGACUGAGGACUGCGGUUUAUACCUAGGAUGUUGGCAUAAUGAUCUUAAGUCGC
rnacentral:rRNA from 1 species